GCUGGGCAUGGUGGCGCAUGCCUGUAAUCCCAGCAGCUUGGUAGGCUGAGGUGGGAGGAUUGUGAGUUCCGAGCCAGUCUCAGCAAAAGCGAGGCAUUAAGCAACUCCGUGAGACCCUGUCUCUA
rnacentral:sRNA from 1 species